rnacentral:rRNA from 1 species
GCGGAGGAAAAGAAACCAACAGGGAUUGCCCUAGUAACGGCGAGUGAAGCGGCAAAAGCUCAGAUUUGAAAUCUGGCGUCUUCGGCGUCCGAGUUGUAAUCUGUAGAGGAUGCUUUUGGGUAGCCACCGGUCUAAGUCCUCUGGAACGGGGCGUCAUAGAGGGUGAGAAUCCCGUAUGUGACCGGAAGGGCGCCCUACACAUAGCUCCUUCGACGAGUCGAGUUGUUUGGGAAUGCAGCUCUAAAUGGGAGGUAAAUUCCUUCUAAGGCUAAAUACCGGCCAGAGACCGAUAGCGCACAAGUAGAGUGAUCGAAAGAUGAAAAGCACUUUGGAAAGAGAGUUAAAAAGCACGUGAAAUUGUUGAAAGGGAAGCGCUUGCAACCAGACUUGUUGGCGGUGUUCCGCCGGUCUUCUGACCGGUCUACUCACCGUCUGCAGGCCAGCAUCAUCUGGGGCCGCCGGAUAAAAGCUCUGGGAAUGUAGCUCCCUCGGGAGUGUUAUAGCCCUCUGCGUAAUACGGCGCGUCUCGGGUGAGGUCCGCGCUUCGGCUAGGAUGCUGGCGUAAUGGUCGUAAGCGGCCCGUCUUGAACCACGGACCAAA